rnacentral:rRNA from 1 species
GACGAACGCUGGCGGCGUGCUUAACACAUGCAAGUCGAACGGAAAGGCCCUGCUUUUGUGGGGUGCUCGAGUGGCGAACGGGUGAGUAACACGUGAGUAACCUGCCCUUGACUUUGGGAUAACUUCAGGAAACUGGGGCUAAUACCGGAUAGGAGCUCCUGCUGCAUGGUGGGGGUUGGAAAGUUUCGGCGGUUGGGGAUGGACUCGCGGCUUAUCAGCUUGUUGGUGGGGUAGUGGCUUACCAAGGCUUUGACGGGUAGCCGGCCUGAGAGGGUGACCGGCCAGAUUGGGACUGAGAUACGGACCGGACUCCUACGGGAGGCAGCAGUGGGGAAUAUUGCACAAUGGGCGGAAGCAUGAUGCAGCAACGCAGCGUGCGGGAUGACGGCCUUCGGGUUGUAAUCCGCUUUCGCCUGUGACGAAGCGUGAGUGACGGUAAUGGGUAAAGAAGCACCGGCUAACUACGUG